UGGGGAAUUUUGGACAAUGGGGGCAACCCUGAUCCAGCCAUGCCGCGUGAGUGAAGAAGGCCUUCGGGUUGUAAAGCUCUUUCGGACGGAAAGAAAUCGCGCAGGUAAAUAAUCUGCGUGGAUGGCGGUACCGUAAGAAGAAGCACCGGCUAACUACGUGCCAGCAGCCGCGGUAAUACGUAGGGUGCGAGCGUUAAUCGGAAUUACUGGGCGUAAAGCGUGCGCAGGCGGCUUUGUAGGACAGGUGUGAAAUCCCCGGGCUUAACCUGGGAAUGGCGCUUGUGACUGCAAGGCUCGAGUGCGGCAGAGGGGGGUGGAAUUCCACGUGUAGCAGUGAAAUGCGUAGAGAUGUGGAGGAACACCGAUGGCGAAGGCAGCCCCCUGGGUCGACACUGACGCUCAUGCACGAAAGCGUGGGGAGCAAACAGGAUUAGAUACCCUGGUAGUCCACGCCCUAAACGACGCCAACUAGUUGUUGGGGAAGGAGACUUCCUUAGUAACGAAGCUAACGCGUGAAGUUGGCCGCCUGGGGAGUACGGUCGCAAGAUUAAAACUCAAAUGA
rnacentral:rRNA from 1 species